rnacentral:rRNA from 1 species
UACAGAGGGGGCAAGCGUUGUUCGGAAUUACUGGGCGUAAAGGGCGCGUAGGCGGCCUGCUAAGUCGAACGUGAAAUCCCUGGGCUCAACCCAGGAACUGCGUCCGAUACUGGUUGGCUUGAAUCCGGGAGAGGGAUGUGGAAUUUCAGGUGUAGCGGUGAAAUGCGUAGAUAUCUGGAGGAACACCGGUGGCGAAGGCGACAUCCUGGACCGGUAUUGACGCUGAGGCGCGAAAGCCAGGGGAGCAAACGGGG